rnacentral:snRNA from 1 species
AUACUUACCUGGCAGGGGACACAUCUUGAUCAUGAAGGAGGUUUUCCCAGGGUGAGGCUCAGUCAUUGCACUCCGGCUGUGCUGACCCCUGCGAUUUCCCCAAAUGCGGGAAAUUCAACUGCAUAAUUUGUGGUAGUGGGNGACUGCAUGCACACUUUCC